GACGUAGGGAGCGAGCGUUGUCCGGAUUCAUUGGGCGUAAAGAGCUCGUAGGCGGUUUGUCGCGUCUGCCGUGAAAGUCCGGGGCUCAACUCCGGAUCUGCGGUGGGUACGGGCAGACUAGAGUGAUGUAGGGGAGACUGGAAUUCCUGGUGUAGCGGUGAAAUGCGCAGAUAUCAGGAGGAACACCGGUGGCGAAGGCGGAUCUCUGGGCCGAUACUGACGCUGAGGAGCGAAAGCGUGGGGAGCGAACAGG
rnacentral:rRNA from 1 species